rnacentral:rRNA from 1 species
AGAACGAACGCUGGCGGCAGGCCUAAUACAUGCAAGUCGAACGCACUCUUCGGAGUGAGUGGCAGACGGGUGAGUAACGCGUGGGAACCUUCCCAAUGGUACGGAAUAACUCCGGGAAACCGGUGCUAAUACCGUAUAAGCCCCUCGGGGGAAAGAUUUAUCGCCAUUGGAUGGGCCCGCGUCGGAUUAGCUAGUUGGUAAGGUAAUGGCUUACCAAGGCUACGAUCCGUAGCUGGUCUGAGAGGAUGAUCAGCCACACUGGGACUGAGACACGGCCCAGACUCCUACGGGAGGCAGCAGUAGGGAAUCUUGGACAAUGGCGAAAGCCUGAUCCAGCCAUGCCGCGUGAGUGACGAAGGUCUUCGGAUUGUAAAACUCUUUUGGCGGGGACGAUAAUGACGGUACCCGCAGAAUAAGCCCCGGCUAACUUCGUGCCAGCAGCCGC